rnacentral:rRNA from 1 species
AGAGUUUGAUCAUGGCUCGAGGACGAACGCUGGCGGCGUGCUUAACACAUGCAAGUCGAACGAGGUGAUAUUGCGGAAGGCUUCGGCCGGAAGCGAUAUGACCGAGUGGCGGACGGGUGAGUAACGCGUGAGCAACCUGUCUUACACAGGGGGAUAACGCUCCGAAAGGAGUGCUAAUACCGCAUAAGACCACGGUAUCGCAUGAUACUGAGGUAAAAGGAGAGAUCCGGUGUAAGGUGGGCUCGCGUCCCAUUAGAUAGUUGGUGAGGUAACGGCUCACCAAGUCGACGAUGGGUAGCCGACCUGAGAGGGUGAUCGGCCACAUUGGAACUGAGAUACGGUCCAGACUCC